UACGUAGGCAGCGAGCGUUGUUCGGAAUUACUGGGCGUAAAGAGUGUGUAGGCGGUGCUCUAAGUUCGGUGUGAAAUCUCCUGCUUAACUGGGAGGGUGCGCCGGAACUGGAGUGCUCGAGCGUGGGAGAGGAAAGCGGAAUUCCUGGUGUAGCGGUGAAAUGCGUAGAUAUCAGGAGGAACACCUGUGGUGUAGACGGCUUUCUGGACCAUAGCUGACGCUGAGACACGAAAGCGUGGGUAGCAAACAGG
rnacentral:rRNA from 1 species